rnacentral:ncRNA from 2 species
AACACUAUAAAUAGUUCGGGUGCUAAAAAGGCUUAAUAGGGAAUCCUGUUAAAUUCAGGAGCGGUCCCGCCGCUGUAAUCCCGAUUCCGAUUGUUUGAUUGGAAUUAAAGCCUUUGCCGGUAAUAUGCCACUGUUCAAUUGGAAUGGGAAGGCUGGCAAAGGUCGGGAGAGCCAGAAGACCUGCCUGUGAACGAAUAGUGAU